AUGUCAAGCUUUUGGUGGGGUGAUGAUGAAGAUAGGAAAAAAAUGCAUUGGUAUGCAUGGUGGAAAAUGUGCAUCCCGAAGAAGGAAGGUGGAAUGGGAUUCAGAGACUUACACAGCUUUAAUCUUGCUAUAUUAGCAAAGCAGUGUUGGCGACUGAUCCAAGAUCCGGACUCUUUGUGUGCGCGUGUUCUCAGUGCAAAGUAUUACCCCGAUGGUAACAUUCUUAAUGCUGGCCCUAAGAAAGGCUCUUCUUAUACUUGGCAGAGUAUAGUAUCAGGAAUUCAAACAUUUAAAAGGGGGUUUAUUUGGAGAGUUGGGACAAGUUCUAAUAUCAAUAUUUGGCUAGACCCAUGGAUACUGUCAAGUGCCUCGCGCAAAGUUAUAAUGCCGAGGGGGCAGAUUAUGUUGUCCAAAGUUGAAGAGCUCAUAGACCCGCACUCGGGCACAUGGGAUGAAGCCUUACUGUAG
rnacentral:rRNA from 1 species